UACGUAGGGGGCAAGCGUUGCCCGGAUUUAUUGGGCGUAAAGAGCUCGUAGGCGGUUUGGUAAGUCGGAUGUGAAAUCUCCAGGCUCAACCUGGAGGGGUCAUUCGAUACUGCCAUGACUAGAGUUCGGUAGGGGAGUGUGGAAUUCCUGGUGGAGCGGUGAAAUGCGCAGAGAUCAGGAGGAACACCCGUAUCGAAGGCGGCACUCUGGGCCGAUACUGACGCUGAGGAGCGAAAGCGUGGGGAGCGAACAGG
rnacentral:rRNA from 1 species